GAUGAACGCUGGCGGCGUGCUUAACACAUGCAAGUCGAACGAAGCACUUUCGUCUGAUCCCUUCGGGGUGAAGACGACUGUGACUGAGUGGCGGACGGGUGAGUAACGCGUGGAUAACCUGCCUUACACUGGGGGAUAACAGUUAGAAAUGACUGCUAAUACCGCAUAAGCGCACAGGGCCGCAUGGCCUGGUGCGAAAAACUCCGGUGGUGUAAGAUGGAUCCGCGUCCGAUUAGCUAGUUGGUGGGGUAACGGCCCACCAAGGCGACGAUCAGUAGCCGGCCUGAGAGGGUGGACGGCCACAUUGGGACUGAGACACGGCCCAGACUCCUACGGGAGGCAGCAGUGGGGAAUAUUGCACAAUGGGGGAAACCCUGAUGCAGCGACGCCGCGUGAAGGAAGAAGUAUCUCGGUAUGUAAACUUCUAUCAGCAGGGAAGAAAAUGACGGUACCUGACUAAGAAGCCCCGGCUAAUUACGUGCCAGCCGCCGCAGUAACAC
rnacentral:rRNA from 1 species